ACGAGAAACCGUGGGCAACUGGGGAGAGUAAAGUGGCGCACGGGUGAGUAAACGCGUGGGUAACCUUCCCCUGGAAUGGGGGAUAACUCUUCGAAAGGGGAGCUCACUCCGAAUAAUAUUCUAAUUUCUACGGGAGUUGGAAUCAAAGGUGGCCUCUGCAUGCAAGCUAUCGUUUAAGGAUGGGCCCGCGUACCAUAAGCUAGUUGGUAGGGUAAUAGCCUACCAAGGCAACGGUGGUUAGCUGGUCUGAGAGGAUGGCCAGCCACACUGGAACUGAGACACGGUCCAGACUCCUACGGGAGGCAGCAGUGGGGAAUCUUGCGCAAUGGGGAAACCCUGACGCAGCAACGCCGCGUGGGUGAUGAAGGCCUUCGGGUCGUAAAGCCCUGUCAGGUGGGAAGAAACUUGUGGAUGUUAAUACCAUCCGCACUUGACGGUACCACCGGAGGAAGCACCGGCUAACUCCGUGCCAGCAGCCGCGGUAAUACGGAGGGUGCAAGCGUUGUUCGGAAUUAUUGGGCGUAAAGCGCGUGUAGGUGGUCAGGUAAGUCAGAUGUGAAAGCCUUCUGCUUAACAGAAGAAGUGCAUUUGAAACUGCUUGGCUAGAGUACGGGAGAGGAGAGUGGAAUUCCCGGUGUAGAGGUGAAAUUCGUAGAUAUCGGGAGGAACACCAGUGGCGAAGGCGGCUCUCUGGUCCGAUACUGACACUGAGACGCGAAAGCGUGGGGAGCAAACAGGAUUAGAUACCCUGGUAGUCCACGCCGUAAACGAUGGGCACUAGGUGUAGGAGGUAUUGACCCCUUCUGUGCCGAAGCUAACGCAUUAAGUGCCCCGCCUGGGGAGUACGGCCGCAAGGCUAAAACUUAAAUGAAUUGACGG
rnacentral:rRNA from 1 species